AGCCUUUUGUAUCCGUGCUGAGAUUUCGUCACACCAGACCACAAGGGCUGAUGAUACUUCCAAAAUAAGUGAAGCG
rnacentral:pre_miRNA from 1 species